CAAUAGCGUAUAUUAAAGUUGUUGCAGUUAGAACGCUCGUAGUCGGAUUUCGGGGCGUUCCGACCGGUCUGCCGAUGGGUAUGCACUGGCCGGAGUGUCCUUUUUGCCGGAGACCGUGCCUACUCUUAACUGAGCGGGGGCGGGAGCCGGCACUUUUACUUUGAAAAAAUCAGAGUGUUUCAAGCAGGCAGCUCGCUCUUGCAUGGAUUAGCAUGGGAUAAUGAAAUAGGACUUUGGUGCUAUUUUGUUGGUUUCGAACACCGAAGUAAUGAUGAGAAGGGACAGUCAGGGGCACUCGUAUUCCGCAGAGAGAGGUGAAAUUCUCAGACCCGCGGAAGACGAACCACUGCGAAAGCAUUUGCCAGGGAUGUUUUCACUGA
rnacentral:rRNA from 1 species